UCGAAAUGACGCCGUUGUCAUUCAUUGGCGAGGUUCCAACUGAGCCGAUAGAAAAAGAUCAAGAUAACAAAAACAGGAUCGACGGCCAUUUUCUCCUUUAUUUCAACUGAGACUGCUUGCAAGACACAAGCAGUCAUCGCUUUUAUUUUGAAAAAAAAAUGGUGGAAAUUCAUGUAACGUCCGGCCAGUCUGUCGUCAGUCUGCCUUGACUCUGACUGCACGAGCGUGAUCAUGUGAUGAACAACGAAUUCCUCACUACCAUACCAGGAAAGCUUGCUUGGCCCCAAGACGCCGCAGCUCGUAGACUGCAGCAGAUGACGGCAAGCGGCAAAAUCCACUUCAUGUUUGGUCAACAUCUGCUUUAGCGAUAUCCUCGCGGCAGGAUGCAGCAUCUCCGGGGGCCCCGCGUCACGCUCUGCAUCUCCAAAGAGGUCGUCGCAGUCUCCUCGCUGUGCCGGAAAGCGCUCACAACGGGAGCUUUUU